GAAGUCAGCCAGACCGCCGCUGGUGCAAGGCCCGAAAGGGCGCACUGGAGGAAGGUCCGGACUGCACAGGGCAGCGCAGGAGGUAACACCUCUCCACCGCGAGGUGAGGAUCAGAGCAACAGAGACGAGCCGGUUAGGUCCGGGUGAAACGGGCAAUCUCUGCGCGCAGCAACACCAAAUAGGCACACGUUGACCUGGCCCGGGGAGUGUGCGGGUAGGUGGCACCGAGCCGUUCUGGCGACAGGCGGCCCAGAGGAAUGGCGGUCACGGCACCGCGUCGCAAGGCGCGGGGCUGCACAGAAUCCGGCCUAUCGGCUGACUUCACAC
rnacentral:RNase_P_RNA from 1 species